rnacentral:rRNA from 1 species
UACGGGGGGAGCAAGCGUUGUUCGGAUUUACUGGGCGUAAAGGGCGCGUAGGCGGUCAGCACAAGUCAGUUGUGAAAUCUCCGGGCUUAACUCGGAAAGGUCAACUGAUACUGUGCGACUAGAGUGCGGAAGGGGCAACUGGAAUUCUCGGUGUAGCGGUGGAAUGCGCAGAUAUCAGGAGGAACACCGAUAGCGAAGGCAGCUCGCUGGGACGGUACUGACGCUGAGGCGCGAAAGCGUGGGGAGCGAACAGG